UUUGUAAUAUGUGUGCAUAACUUGUUAUGAAUAAGUAAAAAAAAAAAAAAAAAAACCAAUUCAUCAUUGUUCAUGUGGUUUAGUAAGAGAAGAGAAGUUUGCAAAUUUUAAUAUCGAUUUAAUGAAUUCAAUCUAAAAACUAAAAUUAACCGGAGUUGUUUUCAUAUUUUACGCACUAAUAUUUACUAAACACACACAAAAAAAACAAUGAAGAUAGUUUGUUUCACAGGAAUAAUUCUACUUGUUUGUACACAGGUGCAAUCUCAACAGGGACCACCAGGUCCGCCUGGGAUCCAAGGUCCACCAGGGCCACCAGGAGAACCAGCGCCUUGUCAAAACGAAUGUGUUGGGAAAGGCUGCGAGCCUCUAUGUCUAGUGGGUUGCUGCGGAUAUCAUGGAAUGUACGGCAAGUCAAAAAGAUGGAUUAUGGAGCAAGUGUUAAAUAAAAAAGAAUAAUAUAGUUUUUUAACAUGUAUAUUUUUAGGUAGAAUAAAUGUUCUGUUUGUCA